GUGUAUGCCUGUGUACUACUUGUGUGCAGUGUCCACGAAUGCCAGAGAGGGUGUUUGAUCCCCUGGAACUGAAGUUGCAGGCGGUGGUGAGCCACCACGUGGGUGCUGGGAUUUGAACCCUAGUCCUCUGGGAGGGUAGCCAGCACUCUAAACCACUGAGCUGGCUCUCCAGACCUCUAAUUUAUUAUUUUGGUAGUUGUCUGCAUUACACUAAGUUCUAGUAGGGGGCAAUGGUGGACGCCUACAAGGAGGAGCAGCUGGAUCCUCAGCAGGUGAAGGGCUUCCUGGACAAGAAUGAAAAGCUGACUGCUCCCUGAUGUCGCCGUGGAAGGAAAGAACCGCUUCAGACAGCUGCUCUCCACACACUUCCCCUCCCGUGGGUGGCACCGCGUGCCUGUGUUCACACACUCACCACAUGUGCACACAACAGUAACGGCAAAGAAGGGACAUCAGCCUGGACAGCUGUAUCACCUACAGGACCAUAAGUGUUUCUUCUGAUCCAGUUGUCACUCUGAGUUGAUGCCCUUUGGUGUGUACUUUAUGUCUUUGGGUUUUGCCGUUGUUGUUGUUGUUGUUGUUGUUGUUGGCUCCCUUUCUGGGAUGGGUGGAUGUGCAUAUGUUGUGCCUCCCCAGGAAAAGUCUGUCACACAGCAGCCUGACAACUGGACUUUAAAGCCCAGAGCCCAUAUCAGGGGAGAAUUGAUUCCCACAAGUUGUCCUGGUGACACACAGACCAUGAGACAAUGCACUCCCACACAUACGCGUACCCACACACAAAACACAUGUCAACUAAUUAUGAAUUUCAGACAGGUGGCAGGGGCUGGAGAGUGGCUCAGUGAAGAGCACUUGCUGCAACUUCCACAGGACUAGAGUUCUGGUCCCAGCAUCUACACUGCACAGUAGCAGAGCUACUCGUUAUAGCGCUGGCUUCAGGGGAGCUGAUGCCCUCUUGUGGCUUUCACCGGUACUGCAAUGCAUCCACUACCAUAGCUCUUUGAGGAAUAGGUAGUAAUAACUUUUUCUACUUUUGAUUAUUUGAAUAUUUUCAUUCUCUCUCUCUCUCUCUCUCUCUCUCUCUAAUUUGAUGUUGCCAUCCAGGCACUUCAGUAUCCUGAAGAUCCAGUUGCUGAGGAAACUGAGGGAAGAGACCUACCACGAGGACACACAGAGACUAAGUAACCCAGCUUCACUUGGACUGAGUGAGACCCACUCCCCUUCUGACAAUGCACAGUAGCCUACUGCCUUCUGCACUGACUACGUGCACACUCAUCCCUCUCCAAACAGUGGAUCUGGCUUCCUCAGAACCUCCUCAAACCCCUGCCUUCCAAGCACUGUGUGUACUCUCUGAAGAGUAGUACAGAUUUCUCACUCCUAAUGACAAUCACAUUAGACCGUUUCUACUUAACUUUCCUCCCAAUGUAUCCAGUAGGAAGAAGAGAAGCGCCGGUUUCUGGGGUAUACACGCGGAGGCACAUUGUGUCUGUUGAGAGACCUUGGAGGUAGACCUUUACCAUCUUCUGCCUGUAUAUAGUUGCGCGUAAAUAUGAUUAGAGUAAGAUGCACUAUGUGAAGAGGCACUCAGUAUGACAUACUCUACCAAACUACAAUGUAACUAGCUGCGGCAAGCUCCUGUCUGCACAACCUCACUGCCUACCGUGGAUGCACAACUGGGAGCCAAAGUAAAACCUUAGGUGGCUCUUGUCAUUUGUUGCAGCGAUGAGAAAAGUGUUAGUGUGUGGCUAUGACCUUCUUUAUAUGUUUCUAAAAAGACAGUGUGCUGGGGGCAUAGGUCAUGGCAGGGCAUGUUCUCGGCAUGGCAGAGGUUCUGAGUUCAAGUCCCAGCACUGUGGGGGGAAACCCCAGAAAAAGCAAAACCAGGAUUAGUGAUGGGUGUGGGUCCUGGGGAGAACUAAGGUUGGUGGAGAGCUUGCUUAGCAUGUGUGGAGCCCUGGGUUCCAGCACUUGAGGAGUAAGGGGACAAGAUUAGGAGUUUAAGGCCAUCCGGGCGACAGAGACUCUGAGGUUAGUCUGGGGUGGGAUGGGGAGACACAGAGACAGAGA
rnacentral:lncRNA from 1 species